rnacentral:rRNA from 1 species
UACGGGGGGGGCAAGCGUUGUUCGGAAUUACUGGGCGUAAAGGGCGCGUAGGUGGCCAACUAAGUCAGACGUGAAAUCCCUCGGCUUAACCGGGGAACUGCGUCUGAUACUGGAUGGCUUGAGUUUGGGAGAGGGACGCGGAAUUCCAGGUGUAGCGGUGAAAUGCGUAGAUAUCUGGAGGAACACCGGUGGCGAAGGCGGCGUCCAGGACCAAUACUGACACUGAAACGCGAAAGCCAGGGGAGCAAACGGG